rnacentral:rRNA from 1 species
UACGGGGGAGCAAGCGUUGUUCGGAUUUACUGGGCGUAAAGGGCGCGUAGGCGGCGCAACAAGUCACUUGUGAAAUCUCCGGGCUUAACCCGGAGCGGUCAAGUGAUACUGUCGGACUAGAGUACAGAAGGGGCAACUGGAAUUCUCGGUGUAGCGGUGAAAUGCGUAGAUAUCGAGAGGAACACCUGCGGCGAAGGCGGGUUGCUGGGCUGAUACUGACGCUGAGGCGCGAAAGCCAGGGGAGCGAACGGG